rnacentral:rRNA from 1 species
AAACCAGCACCUCAAGUGGUCAGGAUGAUUAUUGGGCCUAAAGCAUCCGUAGCCGGCUCUGUAAGUUUUCGGUUAAAUCUGUAUGCUCAACAUACAGGCCGCCGGGAAUACUGCAGAGCUAGGGAGUGGGAGAGGUAGACGGUACUCGGGAGGAAGUGGUAAAAUGCUUUGAUCUCUCGAUGACCACCUGUGGCGAAGGCGGUCUACCAGAACACGUCCGACGGUGAGGGAUGAAAGCUGGGGGAGCAAACCGAAUUAGAUACCCGAGUAGUCC